rnacentral:tRNA from 1 species
AGCCCCGUAGUGUAGUGGCCAAUCAUCCAGCUCUUUGGAAGCUGGGACCGCGGUUCGAAUCCGCGCGGGGCUA